UCCUACAUCCACGGGCCGCAAGAAGAAUCCAAAACAGCUCAUGUCAAACUGUGGACCAUGUUUUCAGAUAUGUGCAGAUGCAAGCCAGUGUUGAAGCCUUCCUCAUUGCCGUGGAACCAGGACAGCCCUUCCUCCUGCAUGUUGGUGAAAACAAGAGCAGCACCAAAGACACUUCACCAUCAGUGAUCACAAGAUCAUCCAAGGACUUGGUUUAUUACAGUCCCUGUGGCAAGCAGUUUUCUGCAUGGUCAGCAUUGAAGGCCAUAUUGUCUUUGAGAGGGUCCAGCCAACAUUCCAGACAGGACAGCGUUCUCCAUCUUCUUCAUCUUCAGCCUCCAAUGAGGCAGCCAAGACUUUGGAGUUCAUUCAACGGUAAAACCAUUCCUAUAUUUUUUUUACAAUGACAUGGUUUUAAAGUUUUAAAGCAAGUUAUGAUUAACA